rnacentral:tRNA from 1 species
GGAGCUAUAGCUCAGUGGCAGAGCACUUGCCUUACACGUGGGAGGCACUGGGUUCGAUCCUUAGCACCA